GACGAACGCUGGCGGCGUGCCUAAUACAUGCAAGUCGAACGCAGUGGGGACGGGUGAGUAACACGUGGGUAACCUCCCAUCAGAGGGGAUAACACUUGGAAACAGGUGCUAAACCGAAAUUGAUAGAUGGACACGGGGUGCAUUAGCUAGUUGGUGGGGUAACGGCUCCACAAGGACACGAUGCAUAGCGGACCUGAGAGGGUGAUGGCCAACACGGGGACGGAGACACGGCCAAGACUCCUACGGGAGGCAGCAGUGGGGAAUCUGCGGAAAUGGACGAAAUUCUGACCGAGCAACGCCGCGGGAGUGAAGAAGGUUUUCGGAUCGUAAAGCUCUGUUGUUAGGGAGGCGGUAUCGAACCAGAAAGCCACGGCUAACUACGUGCCAGCAGCCGCGGUAAUAC
rnacentral:rRNA from 1 species